GACAGAGGGUGCAAACGUUGCUCGGAAUCACUGGGCGUAAAGGGCGUGUAGGCGGGAAGGAAAGUCAGAUGUGAAAUCCCUGGGCUCAACCCAGGAACUGCAUUUGAAACUCCCUUUCUUGAGUGUCGGAGAGGAAAGCGGAAUUCCUGGUGUAGAGGUGAAAUUCGUAGAUAUCAGGAGGAACACCGGUGGCGAAGGCGGCUUUCUGGACACUAACUGACGCUGAGACGCGAAAGCGUGGGGAGCAAACAGG
rnacentral:rRNA from 1 species